UUAAAUAAUGAGACGUCACGCCGGUUUGACUCACAGAGGCUCUGUUUUGUUGUUUAACAG
ensembl:miRNA